rnacentral:tRNA from 1 species
GGGGUUGUAGCUCAGUGGUAGAGUGCUUGCCUUGUAGGCAUGAGGCCCUGGGUUCGAUCCUCAGCACCACA